rnacentral:rRNA from 1 species
UACGUAGGGGGCAAGCGUUGUCCGGAAUCAUUGGGCGUAAAGCGCGUGUAGGCGGCUCGAUAAGUCCGUUCUGAAAGUCCAGGGCUCAACCCUGGGAUGCGGAUGGAUACUGUCGAGCUCGAGUCCGGAAGAGGCGAGUGGAAUUCCUGGUGUAGCGAUGAAAUGCGCAGAUAUCAGGAGGAACACCAAUGGCGAAGGCAGCUCGCUGGGACGUGACUGACGCUGAGACGCGAAAGCGUGGGGAGCAAACAGG